rnacentral:rRNA from 1 species
UACAGAGGUGGCAAGCGUUGUUCGGAAUUACUGGGUGUAAAGGGCGCGUAGGCGGCUCGAUAAGUCCCGCGUGAAAUCCCCCGGCUCAACUGGGGAACUGCGUGGGAAACUGCCGGGCUUGAGUUCGGGAGAGGGAAGCGGAAUUCCGGGUGUAGCGGUGAAAUGCGUAGAUAUCCGGAGGAACACCGGUGGCGAAGGCGGCUUCCUGGACCGACACUGACGCUGAUGCGCGAAAGCUAGGGGAGCAAACGGG